AAUCACCACACUUGGAUGGAAGAGAAAACAGAAAUAAAAACAUGAAGUAUUUAAAAAAAAAUCUUUUUUCUUUUUCAUAUUGUUUGUUUGUUUCUGUUUCAUAUUUUACUCUUCUCACGUAUCGUGUUAUUAAUAUAUAU
rnacentral:ribozyme from 13 species